rnacentral:ncRNA from 2 species
AUCUAUCUUCGGGGCGGGGCGAAAUUCCCCACCGGCGGUAAUUAAGCAUUGCUUAUAAGCCCGCGAGCCUGAUUUUUUGGGCAGGAUCUAGUGCGAUUCUAGAGCCGACAGUAUAGUCUGGAUGGGAGAAGAUGGAG